CUCCCUCUCCGUCCUUGUUCAAGCCCCUGCCCCCAAUCCCCGAGCCCGCAGAAGGUGUGGGUUGGGUGGCAUUGGGUGAAGUCAGAAUAAACACUUUCAGAAAGCCCCUAGCUUCACGUCUUAGGAGUCUCCCAACGUUCUGGACUAGGGUUUUAUGACCCCAGCUUCUCUAUUUUCUAGAACUCCUGAGCUGAGAAAACCGGAGGGAGGAAGCCCUUGUCUAGAACCGUUUCAUGCGUCAAUUAUAACACGUCAGAGCCUGGGCCCUCCUUCUGGGGAAAGAUUAACAAAGCCUUAGUUCCCUUGCUCCUGGAUUAACCAGUGGUUAGUGGAGAUGCGAGAAAAGACGCUAAUGCUGGCAAGGCAAUAACAUGGACUUCCUCGCCUUAUUCCUCUUUUCAUCAGAGAUGGCAAAACCAGCAGCUCCUUCUGCCUCGAGUUGCUUACUGAACUGAAAGGAAAGGAGUGUACACAAAGAAGCCAUAGGAACAAAAGCCAGCUGGUGGUGCGCAGGUAUAUCUCCACAAGCGUCCCGCACCGUUAAGAGACAGAACCACGGGGACUUGCUGGCCUCAGUCUAGCUCCAAGUUCAGUCUCAAGGGAACAAGGUGCCAGGACUGUACUGGGCACCAGGCAGCCAGGAGAGAAAGGGAGAAGGCAGAUCCACAUUCUAUCCACACUGGGAGGCAGAGACUUCUGGAGGGCCACAAGAGCUCUCAGGGAAGGAGUGGAUUCCUCAGUGUUCCCCAAGGUACCCUUUGGCUAAGGGCAAACUCUCCUCUCCGCUUCAUGGUUGGGGGGCAGAAUUAGACACACAUGACAACAGUUCAUUAGGCUUGGAGGAGGGGAUCUCAGAGAGGGAACAAUUGUUUAUUACGUUCAGUCCUAGAUUCCAUCUCUAUCCACGCAAAAAAUAAAACAAAAUAAGUUUGCUAGCUUUGAAAGUGAUAAAGCAGGAAAAUUUCCUGUGCUCUUUCAAGGUGCAGACCAGAGAAUACCAAAGGGUGCCAUGUCUUGCCUAUAAUGUGUUUGGAAUUCUUUGAGGCAAUGAAUGAAGCAAAAGAUGAUGAGAAGCAGAAUGAUGAGGUCUGGAAGACUACACUGCUCCACCAGCAAGGGUGGUGGGAAGGAAGGGGCUACAGCGACUGAGAAGGUGUUCAAUCCUGGAGAGUGGGUCCCACACUAAGUGGCUGAACGUCUGGACACCUGGAAGACACUGGGAUGACAGCUGUCGUCCACAAGAGAGAGGACGAGGCAUCACCCAGAAAGGGAGGAGAGAGUCACCUAAAGUAGGAAGCCCAAGACUGGCAUUGGUCCAGGUGGCUACACCCUACCAGAAGCUAGCCAUAUGGAAGUCAGGAGAGAUGUGCCAGCCAUAAAACCUGGUAUUCGGUGCUACUCAGAAAGCCAAAGCAGGAGAAUCACCUGAGUCCAGUAGUUCAACAUGUCGACCCUGAUUCUUAAGAAUUAAUUAGUUAAUUCAAGGAAGAAAAAAAACGCAGAGCCUCUGGGGGCCUUUAUGUUUGAAGAACACCUGGGUGUGGGCUGGGGAGGUAGCUUGGUCAGUAAAGUGCUCCAUGUGCCUCCACCCCCUUAUGCACACAACAAAGCAAAAGGAAACAAAGUAGCCGGUGAAGGGGGCUAAACCAGAGGAUAUGGCAGAACUGGGCCUCCGCACUGUGCCAGGCAAUGUGCUAAGAUCCUUCCUUAGUUCACUGGCGGUCAAUUCCUCCUCCUGCCUGGUCAAUUUACACUGUGGAGGUUAGGGAUUGAAAGUCUUCAGGCCUAAAGGCAAUUGCCCUCACCUGCUGGCCUCUCUUCUGCCCUACAGAUAAGGAAACUGGCCUGACAGUGUAGAGUAGCAUUCCCAGAGCCAGUUAGGACUGGCUUAGAGAUACUUUGUUUGCUUACUUUUUUUUUUCUUAGACAAGAUCUCUCUAUGUAGUUCUGACUGUCCUGAAACUCACUAUG
rnacentral:sRNA from 1 species